CAGCGACGACAAGUGAGGGUCUCCGGCCACCGAGAGAGCAAGAGAGAACCACAUCAAGAUGUUGUCGCGGUCUGCUCAUCCAGGGCAUGGGUGCGACGAAGGUCGCGUGUGGCUCUGUUGAGCAUAUUUGCGGUGGCAGACUUGACGAUGCGCACGGCAAAAGGAAGUGCACGUCGGCGAAGCUCCAAGUCGCAUAUGAAAGAAAACGGCAAUAGCAAGGAGAUGGAGCCAUCGGCGUUUCAAAAACCCACGCGCAACAGAGACGAAGGAGGACGAUGUGCAGGAGAAGAUGCGGGAAUUAGCUCCGGCGACCUCAACGACAACAUUUAUAUGCGAAAACACAAGGCAUCCCAAUUCAAGAGCCAAGCAUCCCGCUGAAGGAAUCCAUCACGAUGGUGCGGCAAACUCCGAUCAUAAAGCCUAUGCUUUCUGCCAAUGAAGUGACUCCAUGGCCUGUGCUGGGGCACCUGUGAAUUAUGUGAUCAGUGACAUAGGAUCACUCGCCCUGCUACUCGCUAGGAUACCAUGCAACCCCAGCAGAUUUACCGGCUACUUGGAAUUUUAAAGUACACCGUUGUAGAACUCUUGGAAGCUUAUCUUAAUGGGGCGCACCUCACUAUAUUCCAUGCGACAUCGAACCUGUGCAAGUCUGUUAAACCUUUGUCAUAGCAUUAUUGUUCAAGUACCAGCCUUGGGAACCAAAGAAAGAGCAAGCCUCCUCCUCCCUGAGUACAUGUACAUUUGGGGACAACAGCUAGAUUGUCAACUGAGAUUGUUUGUAAACUGAGAUUGUCAAACUGAGAAUGUUAUGUUGUCAGCUAGAUUCAUGUUGUAAACUGAGAUUGUCAUGUUGUAAAUUGAAGAUUAUGUUGUUAAUAUAAUUUCCAGUUUACAG